CAAGUACCAUGAGGGAAAGAUGAAAAGGACUUUGAAAAGAGAGUUAAAAGUGCCUGAAAUUGCUGAAAGGGAAGCGAAUGGAACCAGUGCUCUUGGCGAGAUUGUUGCGCGCUAUGGUGAUUGCGGGCUGCUUCAGCGCAAGCGGAGUAGUUUGUAUUGAGCUUGACGCGCGCAGUGUUUCUUACCUUGUGCGUCACCGUCGGUUCACAGGCGAGGAUACUUCUAAGGACAUGGUAACUCUUCCACGGAGGUGUGAAUGUCUUUGGUAAUACUCGCUCGUAGACCGUUUGCCUUCGGGUUACGAUGACUAAAUGGUUCUAUUCGACCCGUC
rnacentral:rRNA from 1 species